GGGAACGGAGGGGGUUGCGGCAACUGUGGGGCUGCAGGUCCGCCUGCAAAAUGAGCUCGAUGUCGGCGGCCUGACCAGCGUGGCAAAAUUCGGCCCACAGGAGCUCCACAGCUAGCGCAGUUGAGCACUGCCCCGCUCGAGCUCCACGACCGUUGCGACGAUGGAGCGCUGCUCGAGCUUUGCGGCCGGCACGGCAAACUCC
rnacentral:lncRNA from 1 species